rnacentral:rRNA from 1 species
GUGCAGCAGGCGAGAAACCUUCGCAAUGCGGGAAACCGCGACGAGGGGACUCCCAGUGCCUACGCUCAGCGUAGGCUGUUCCCGAGCCUAGAAAGCUCGGGGAGUAAGGGCUGGGUAAGACGGGUGCCAGCCGCCGCGGUAAUACCCGCAGCCCCGAGUGGUAGCCACUAUUAUUGGGCCUAAAGCGUCCGUAGCCGGCCCGGUAAAUGCCUGGGUAAAUCGUGAGGCCUAACCUCACGAAUUCCGGGUAGACUGCCGGGCUAGGGGACCGGAGGAGGGAGAGGGGUACUCCAGGGGUAGGGGUGAAAUCCUGUAAUCCCUGGAGGACCACCGGUGGCGAAGGCGCUCUCCUAGGACGGGUCCGACGGUGAGGGACGAAAGCCAGGGGAGCGAACCGGAUUAGAUACCCCCGUAGU